UUGGUUUAGUGGUGAUUCAAUUGUGUACUAUGAUGUUGGACGUACAUGUCUUGUGUUCAACUUCCUGUUUGGGCGUUUAAAGUUGAGUAGAAGAGAGAGAAUUUCAUUCUUAUUACGUAUGCCCAUGCAGCGAAGAAUUAAAAUGUAAAUUCUUAGGUUGUUUGGGUUCUUAAAAUUGUAUUAUUAGUUUGUUGAAUGAUGAUUAUUUUU
rnacentral:lncRNA from 1 species